UUGAUGGAUAGUUUACCAAAUUAGAGAUAGAGCCAACGAAUGGUUGUUGAGAGUUGAAGGCAGGUUUGUACCUAUGUGGUAUCCGAAAAUUAACCAAAUAAUUAUCAUCAUCAUUAGACCAGAGUUUAAUCACAAUAUUCUAAAGGUAAAAAAAAAAGCAAUGUAUAAGGGUAAGGUAGGCGAAAGCAUCACGUACAAAACAAAGAAGAUGGCUGUGUUUCGGGUUGUUGCACCGUGUAGUCUGGUGAACACAGAAGAAAUCCAUCUUCAUACUCACCUCCGUCUUUAAGAUUCAUGAAAGUACCCACCCGAUUUGUAAUGACGUCUGGACCAUAAUUCAUUAGGAUCAAUACCUGUUGGUGACUGGUUCACAUUUUUGGAGAAGGGUAUAAAGCUGUUUGGUUGAGCUGGUAAUCUGUCCGCGAGUGCUGGAUGAAGCAUAUAAUUUCUGGCAUCGAAAGGGAAAAGAAGGUGAAUGUCAGCAAGAAGUUCAAGAUGUCUGCCGUCUACUAUAGUUCUUCACCUUCCAGGUUUUCAGAAUAAAUUACAAUAAUUUAGAAAGGAUUCGUUCACUCUCACAUAAUUUUGACAAAUUUCGUUUUAGGCCGUAAGAUGUUUCAAAAUAUAAAUAGCUGGGCAAUUUGGAAAGGAGCACAUUUCUAGAACAGUCGCAGGUUAAGAGCACUUUCCUGAUAAUGUGCGAUACCCACAUUUUAAGAUUUUGCAUUUGCCUGUAGUUGGGGGAUGGGAAUUUAUGUAAGGGAAUUGUUUAGUAUGAACUGUAUGUUGUAUGGUACGUUUUAAAGGCACGUGUGAGGUUGGGAAUAGAGAUAAUAUUUGUGUGAUUCAUAACAACAUAGGAAGUAAAAAUUUCAAACAAACGCAGAGUUAAAGAUUCUUAAUUCGCAUUCAUUUUAUUUUGGCACUCAAAACAAAUCCGAAAAUAUAGUUGGUGCACACUGGAUAGGGGAGUGAAAGACAUUCAGACACAUGAGUAUUGUAACUACAUAAACCAGUGAACAGGAAAUGCAAAUAUUAUUAAAACUAUUUUUAGUGUUAUAAUGGAUACUAGAAUGUGUGGAACUUUCUCUCCAUUUCCUUUAUGCCUUCAUGAGUGACUUGUAUGUCCAGGGGCAACUUAACCUUUCUUGUAAAACUGUUUCAGAAUAGUUAUAAGUUGAAUAUGAAAAUUUUGGAGUUACAGAGUGCUAACACUACAGAAGGUAAAUUAAGAAAUUAUAGAAUAUUCUGUUGGGACAGAUGUAUUUAAGUCUUUCCUCAUUGUACUGUACAAUCUGUCUCAUAACCUGUAAUGCAUUUUAGAAGUGAUGAACCAACAGAAAGAGCACAUCAUUAUCCAAAGUACAGCAGUGUGAAAAUCUUAGUUUGUAUUUACUGUACAGGCUUUAAUACUGUAAUCUUACUUAGAAACAGAAUUAUGGCAAUUUUUAAGUAGGUUUUUGCAUCAUGGAUGUGUGGUCUGGAGACAUUAUUAUCCCCCCGGUCCUUUGCGCUUAACUUGCAGUACGUGAUCAGCCAUGGUAUUGUGUGAAUGUGCCAUAAAUAUUGCAUUGCAGCUAUUGAUGAAGUAUAAAAUCAAAAUAACUGGACCUUUCAUGCAUCUUUUGAGUAAGACUAGCUUAUGUUUAAUUCCAGAUGUACCUAAUAGGAAAAUUCUUUUCAGUAGUUUCCAAAACAGCCUGAAAUGAGUUGCCUUUAGACCAGUUAGGGCCACAGUUCUAGCAAAUUUUGUAAAUCAUGUUAGAAAAUCCAUUUCAUUAAAAUCUUCAAUUUCAGAAACAAAACAUUACAUAGACUGAACAACUAUAAUUUGGCAUCACUUAUAUGUAUAGGGUCUACAAGCUCACAAAAUGUAAUAGAAAUUAAAAGGGAUUGGGUUGAAAAUCUUGUUGUUUUGACGUGGAGUGGCAGUCUGCAUGCACAGCUUUUACAGGGGCUGUGCAGAAUUCUGCAUGUGCUUUAAAGGUAGGAAUGAGACUGGAUAGGUACUUUAAAUUCUGAAUGGCACUGCUGGUUACAGUGAAUGCUGUGAAUAGGAACUGACUUGCAACUAAUGAGCAGGCAGAUUGUUGUUUUCUGUGUUAGUUGGUAGGGACACUGCUACCACAAUGAUUCUGAAACAUCCACUAUGCAGUUAAUGGUUGUACUCGUGAUGCUUUGAAAUAAAGUGACUGUCUUAAU